rnacentral:rRNA from 1 species
UACGUAGGGUGCUAGCGUUGUUCGGAAUCAUUGGGCGUAAAGCGCGUGUAGGCGGUUAGUUAAGUCGGGUGUGAAAUCCCUGGGCUCAACCGAGGAAGUGCAGUCCGAAAACUAACUAGCUAGAGAAUGGUAGAGGAAGGUGGAAUUCCGUGUGUAGAGGUGAAAUUCGUAGAUAUACGGAGGAAUACCGGUGGCGAAGGCGGCCUUCUGGACCAUUUCUAGACGCUGAGACGCGAAAGCGUGGGGAGCGAACAGG